rnacentral:rRNA from 1 species
UACGAAGGGGCUAGCGUUGCUCGGAAUCACUGGGCGUAAAGCGCACGUAGGCGGAUUGUUAAGUCAGGGUGAAUCCUGGAGCUCAACUCCAGAACUGCCUUGAUACUGGCGAUCUCGAGUCCGGAGAGGUGAGUGAACUGCGAGUGUAGAGGUGAAAUUCGUAGAUAUUCGCAAGAACACCAGUGGCGAAGCGGCUCACUGGCCGGUACUGACGCUGAGUGCGAAAGCGUGGAGCAACAGG